GCUUACGGCCACACCACCCUGAACACGCCCGAUCUCGCGAUCUCGGAAGCUAAGCAGGGCCGGGCCUGGUUAGUACUUGGAUGGGAGACCGCCUGGGAAUACCAGGUGCUGUAAGUU
rnacentral:rRNA from 1 species